rnacentral:rRNA from 1 species
UGGGGAAUAUUGGACAAUGGGCGCAAGCCUGAUCCAGCCAUGCCGCGUGAGUGAUGAAGGCCCUAGGGUUGUAAAGCUCUUUCACCGGUGAAGAUAAUGACGGUAACCGGAGAAGAAGCCCUGGCUAACUUCGUGCCAGCAGCCGCGGUAAUACGAAGGGGGCUAGCGUUGUUCGGAUUUACUGGGCGUAAAGCGCACGUAGGCGGACUUUUAAGUCAGGGGUGAAAUCCCGGGGCUCAACCCCGGAACUGCCUUUGAUACUGGAAGUCUUGAGUAUGGUAGAGGUGAGUGGAAUUCCGAGUGUAGAGGUGAAAUUCGUAGAUAUUCGGAGGAAAACCAGUGGCGAAGGCGGCUCACUGGACCAUUACUGACGCUGAGGUGCGAAAGCGUGGGGAGCAAACAGG